CAGCAGCCGCGGUAAUACGUAGGGUGCAAGCGUUAUCCGGAAUUAUUGGGCGUAAAGAGCUCGUAGGCGGUUUGUCGCGUCUGCUGUGAAAACUGGAGGCUCAACCUCCAGCCUGCAGUGGGUACGGGCAGACUAGAGUGCGGUAGGGGAGAUUGGAAUUCCUGGUGUAGCGGUGGAAUGCGCAGAUAUCAGGAGGAACACCGAUGGCGAAGGCAGAUCUCUGGGCCGUAACUGACGCUGAGGAGCGAAAGCGUGGGGAGCAAACAGGAUUAGAUACCCGUGUAGUCCCUGUCUCUUAUAU
rnacentral:rRNA from 1 species